UGGGGAAUCUUGCACAAUGGGGGAAACCCUGAUGCAGCGACGCCGCGUGAGCGAUGAAGCCCUUCGGGGUGUAAAGCUCUUUCGGCAGGGAAGAUUAUGACGGUACCUGCAAAAGCAGCUGCGGCUAACUACGUGCCAGCAGCCGCGGUAAUACGUAGGCAGCAAGCGUUGUUCGGAAUUACUGGGCGUAAAGGGUGCGUAGGCGGUUUUGCAAGUUUGGUGUGAAAUCUCCCGGCUUAACUGGGAGGGUGCGCCGAAAACUGCAAGGCUAGAGUGCGGGAGAGGAGAGUGGAAUUCCUGGUGUAGCGGUGAAAUGCGUAGAUAUCAGGAGGAACACCUGUGGUGUAGACGGCUCUCUGGACCGCAACUGACGCUGAUGCACGAAAGCGUGGGGAGCAAACAGG
rnacentral:rRNA from 1 species